rnacentral:miRNA from 1 species
GCCUGAUUUCCACAAGGCGGAAUUUUGCGCGCGGAGCGGAAUUUUUCUUUGUCUUGUGAUUUCUCAUGUGGAACUAAUUAGAAAAGACAAAGAAAAUUUCCGCUGCGCGCGCAAAAUUCCGCCUAGUGGAAAUCAGGU